rfam:Sinorhizobium sp. RAC02, complete genome.
CCUGCUCUAACGGGGUGCUUGUGGGUUUCGAUCCAUGGGCUGAGAGGCGGUUUCGCCAACCCGAAGAACCUGAUCCGGCUCGUACCGGCGGAGGGAUUAGACGGCACAUUCCA